rnacentral:rRNA from 1 species
UACGGAGGGUGCAAGCGUUAAUCGGAAUUACUGGGCGUAAAGCGUGCGCAGGCGGUUUGUUAAGUCUGUUGUGAAAUCCCCGAGCUCAACUUGGGAAUUGCAAUGGAUACUGGCAGGCUGGAGUAUGGUAGAGGAAGGUGGAAUUCCCGGUGUAGCAGUGAAAUGCGUAGAGAUCGGGAGGAACACCAGUGGCGAAGGCGGCCUUCUGGACCAACACUGACGCUCAUGCACGAAAGCGUGGGGAGCAAACAGG